rnacentral:rRNA from 1 species
GACGAACGCUGGCGGCGUGCUUAACACAUGCAAGUCGAACGGAAAGGCCCUGCUUUUGUGGGGUGCUCGAGUGGCGAACGGGUGAGUAACACGUGAGUAACCUGCCCUUGACUUUGGGAUAACUUCAGGAAACUGGGGCUAAUACCGGAUAGGAACUCCUGCUGCAUGGUGGGGGUUGGAAAGUUUCGGCGGUUGGGGAUGGACUCGCGGCUUAUCAGCUUGUUGGUGGGGUAGUGGCUUACCAAGGCUUUGACGGGUAGCCGGCCUGAGAGGGUGACCGGCCAGAAUGGGACUGAGAUACGGCCCAGACUCCUGCGGGAGGCAGCAGUGGGGAAUAUUGCACAAUGGGCGGAAGCCUGAUGCAGCAACGCCGCGUGCGGGAUGACGGCCUUCGGGUUGUAAACCGCUUUCGCCUGUGACGAAGCGUGAGUGACGGUAAUGGGUAAAGAAGCACCGGCUAACUACGUG